rnacentral:rRNA from 1 species
AGGGUUUGAUUAUGGCUCAGGAUGAACGCUAGCUACAGGCUUAACACAUGCAAGUCGCGGGGCAGCAUGAAGGAUGCUUGCAUUCUUUGAUGGCGACCGGCGCACGGGUGAGUAACGCGUAUCCAACCUGCCUGUUACCACGGCACAGCCCGUCGAAAGGCGGAUUAAUGCCGUAUGUGGUCCUUUGCGGGCAUCUAAUUAGGACUAAAGGUUUAGCGGUAACAGAUGGGGAUGCGUCCGAUUAGCUAGACGGCGGGGUAACGGCCCACCGUGGCUACGAUCGGUAGGGGUUCUGAGAGGAAGGUCCCCCACACUGGAACUGAGACACGGUCCAG